UGUUUUAUGGCUUAGUUGGUUAAAGCUCCAGUCACGGAGUCGUGGGUUCGAAUCCCACCAGAACGC
rnacentral:tRNA from 1 species